GGGCCCGUAGCCUAGUUUGGAUAAGGCGUCGGCCUUCGGAGCCGAAAACCCAGGGUUCAAAUCCCUGCGGGCCCGCCA
rnacentral:tRNA from 1 species